ACCCAAACCCUAUCUCCUCUCGUCGCACUAUCUCCCACACCCACAUCUCCUAUCUGGACUCCCGCGCCCUAGGGUUAGCCGCCGCCGCCGCAGAUCCGAUUCCGACGAGAUCCGACGGCCAUGGCCUGCGCGCACCCAACUACGGCACGAGCAUCGGCUCGGUCAACGCGUGCCAGGAGCUGCUCGAGCUCCAACGCGCAUGGCGGCGCCGCCGCUCGAUGCGGGCGCAGGGGCGACGAAUUGACGGGGAGCCGGCGGGGCUGGACGGUACGACUGUGGUUGCCCCAUUCCCGGCAUUGGUCGGCUUCCUCGGAGCUGCGGCAAGCUUCGCCAUGGUAGCUCCAGGUGCCAGCGGGAGGGAGAAAGAGAACAGACCAGGGGGAGAAAAGAAGAGGGAGGAAGAGGGAGAGGAGCAGAGAGGCUCCGUCUGGUGCUCGAAUGAGACGGUUCCGAUGAGGGUUGGGGUUCCGACGAGCCUCCGGUGGCUGGCCAGCGCCACAGGAGGCCGAGGUGGAGUCCAUUAUCCUCGUCUCCGGUGCGCGCGUCGUCGCCUACGGCUGAGGUGGGUCGACUGCCGCGCAGGGGCCUAAGUAGACGCCCCUUGCCCAGGAGCCGAAAGAUCCAUCCUGCCUCCCUGGGAAUCUUUCCGAGAAAAAUAAUCACGCUUAUGUGGAAGAAUUCAUGGAGAAACUUUGGAGCAAGUCAAACACAAGUGUUGUGACCAAGUAGAUCGAGCUCGCCGCACUGCAUGUUGUCAAUGCCAACACGGGGAGGUCCGACAAGCACAACAUGGUCCCUACACCAACAAGAAACUAGCUCAUCUGCUGUGCCUAGAGAAGCUAGACUGGAAGGACCAUGAGGAGAGCAACUAAACUCUGUUGUCGAUGAAUAGGAUGAUGGAUGCUUCUCAGAAUUUUAGAAGAGGAAGACAAUGGAGCCACGCUUUCGUAUGACGUGAUUACUUGUUUUAGUGUUGAAUAUACUAUUUUUUGUAAUACCAUUUUAUCUGGGCUGUAAUACCAUUUGUCUAUGUUGUGUAAUCUUAGUUUGUGUGUGCUGGGUUAUUGGAGAAUUAACUGUAUAAUUUUUCAUUUCUGUGAUGGGCAGAAAAUAUGAACAAUACUUCUGUAACACCUAAGAAGUUUUCAUGUA